rnacentral:rRNA from 1 species
GACGACGCUGGCGGCGUGCUUAACACAUGCAAGUCGAACGGACGAGUGAGAUAAGUUUACUUAACUCACAAGUUAGUGGCGGACGGGUGAGUAACACGUGGAUAAUCUACCUGCAACACCGGGAUAACGCUGUGAAAACGGUGCUAAUACCGGAUACGUUCCCUUGUGCGCAUGUAUGAGGGAAGAAAGCUCAGGCGGUUGCAGAUGAGUCCGCGGCUGAUUAGCUAGUUGGUGAGGUAAAGGCUCACCAAGGCGAUGAUCAGUAGCCGGCCUGAGAGGGUGAACGGCCACACUGGGACUGAGACACGGCCCAGACUCCUACGGGAGGCAGCAGUGGGGAAUCUUCCGCAAUGGGCGCAAGCCUGACGGAGCAACGCCGCGUGGGUGAAGAAGGCCUUCGGGUUGUAAAGCCCUGUCUUAUGGGAAGAAGUCAGUGACGGUACCAUAGGAGGAAGCCACGGUCUAACUACGUG